rnacentral:sRNA from 1 species
AUUCUACCCGUGUGGGGAAGGAUGAGAAGCUUCGACUAAGGUUCGAUUCGAGCGCAGCGAGAAAGCGUUGCCAACGGCAACGGCCCGAAGGGCGAAGCGCGCAGCGCUGAGUCAUCCUUCCCCCACCACCA